GGCGCCUGUAACAUUGUGCAACCUCGGGGUGGGCGCUACAUUCGGUGAAUCCAUAUUGCAUGAUCUUCCCCGGGACAGCACUGUCGUCACAAAAACCACCUGCGAACUGCUUCGCGUGGAGCAACAGGAUUUUCGUCUCAUCUGGGAGAAGAAUAAAGAAUUAAUGAAUGAUAUAAUCACCAGCUGCAAAUUGAAGAAUGGAUUCGGUUCCGGUGUAUCACCAGUUGCGUCAUCGCCAACUAAACGCCCAUUAAGUCCAGACCAUCCGAAUCCCGCAUUACCAAUUACCGAG